GGGCGCCAGGAGACCACGAGGCAGCAUGGACAGUGAAGGGAGCAUGGGGUCCAGAGCCACGCAGACCUGGCUCCAACCCAUCCUCAGCGCCUACGGAUGUCGAGCUGCUCUCGGCCUCCCCUUCCCAUCUGCAGGGGUUCGGGAGUGGCAGGGGGCAGGGGUGUUCCAGGAGCCGGCUGGCUCGGAAUGGGGAGGGGAGCCGGCUGCGGAGGGGGGCAAACACCCGGGCUCCCUGACGGAAAAUGUGUGUGCUGCUUGUUAUUUCUAUUUCGCACUCCCCCCUCGAGCUGGGGCGCCUUGGUGCAAACGAUCCCACAGGACACCGCCCGGGACGGUGGCUGCCCCAUUUGGAGUCGCCAGGUCCGAGCUAACCAUGGAAAAAACCACCCCCAGCCUUCCUGCCAUGUGCUCCUGCAGCCAAAACUAUUUUUAUAGUAAUAUCCAUCUAUUUACAACCUGGGAUCUGAGAGGGUUUUGUUUUUUGUUUGGGGCUUUUUAUCCCCUCCCGGAGGAUGCUUUUUAAGGUACUUUGGUUUUGUCCAUGCGCCUGUCUCAGCUCAGUCUUGUAAACGUCUCUGGAAUCACUUGGUGAAUAAUAUUUUUAAAGGCCGGUGUCUGCCAGGCUGGAGCCCCCAAGGCUGGCGUCUGGGUGGGCGGCUCCCAGCAGUUGCUGGGGCACCAAGGGGCACCUCAGCUGCUUCCGGUUCCUUCACCCAAGGGAGGGUCCGUGUGAUCCCAAACUGGCAACCGGCAGGAUCUCGCCGGGGGUUGGGGCCUUUGGCCCCCAUCAGGCAGGGCAGGGGCUUAGGCCCUCCAGCCUGUCCCAAAGUCCCCCAGCCUGGAGGACACUUUCUCACCAUCUCUGUGGCUCCUUUGGGGGCGACAGUCUCUAUCCCUGGUGACAGAUGACUCAAGCUAGGAGGUGGGGAUGAAGCCCAGAGAGGCAAGGGCUCACCUGAGCUCACAUGGCGAGACAGAUGGAGCUGCCCUGAGUCCUGCCCUGUCUCUCCAUCGUGUGGGGGAGCGCGGGAAAGCUACGUGUCCACCCUCAGCCUCUAGUCUGUCCUGCUUAGUAGGGAGAAGAGAAGGGAUUGGGGCGGGGGGGAGGUGGAAACGCAGUGGAGGAGAGGAUGCCUUCUGUGAAAUGCCUGCUCCCAUCAACGGGCAGUUGCCAGCCCUGAAGGACAGCCAGCCCCACACACCCAGACCAGAGGAGGCCAGAGAAAGGUUAGGCUCUGAUUCAAUGAGAUGCACUGAAGGCAGCCAGCUUCCCUCCAUCGUGUGCGAGCCUCUCUCCAAACCUCUGGGAGCUGAAAGGCAGUUUGGGCAAAGCCGUUCAUGUGAGACAGGCCUAAGGGGAUAGGGGCUGCUGCAUGAACAAAGACCGGGAUUUCAGGGCAGCUCCAGGCAAGAGCUGGUGGGAUCCUUCCAGAGGCCUCCAACAAGAUGCUCCCUCCAAACCCCAAGGCCACUUGGAAGGAGUCACAGAUGACGGGGGAGGGGGGAAAGGAGGAGUGGGAGGCAGCUCGGGGGGUUAGAGUGUGCCAGGUGGUCCAGAGGGUUCCAAGCCAGCAGAGGAAGACACUGGUGUUUCCUGGGGACUCUCCACCCUCUCCACCAACUCCACCCCAGCCCUGCAGACAGAUUCCUGCUUCCCCAUUUCACAGAUGAUGUUACUGAGCCAGAGGGGAGCAGUGACUGGCUCCAGGUCAUGCAGCGGCUCCAGCACUGAAGUCAACAGAUUCACAAUAGAGGUUGAUGGUCAGACCCCCUUAGGACGACCACCCACCUCAGCCUCUUGCCUUCACAGUGAACUGCCCCACCUCCCUGCUUCUCACUGGUGUGUGGAUGGUGAGACCAGAGUCCAGAGAGAAGGGCCAGGCAGCCGACUUGGAAAACUGGGUGCUAGGGUGGGUACCAGGAGGAGGAAGCCUCCCCUGGCUCAGCCACCAGUUCUCACAUGGCCCUCUCUGAACCUCAGUCUCUUCUUCUAAGAAAUGGAAGAAAACAGCGAGCUAAUCAUGGAGCCUUUUUUAUAUCAAAUGAGAACAUCAACAGGGACAUCAACGUUGACCUAUACCAGCAGCUCAGGAGAAGGGCUCAGGCCAAGAGUCCCAGCCUGGGGUGCCGAUUCCAUCCUGGGCCUGGCUCUGAAGAUGGCCUGCCCCUCCCUGGCUCCCCUCCAUCAUGCCCCUCUCCAGACACCGCAAGAAGAUAAUGUGUUUUACCGGGAGCAUUUAUUAUCGACAACUGCUACAUAAAUCUCUCUCUGUGUACAUACGUGUGCACGAGAGGUGGAUAAACAGGGCAGAGCCGCUGUGCGCAAUCUCACUGCUGUAGUCAACUUGCCCCCAAAAAGAUAACGGGACAUGAUUCAGAAUAUUUAUUUGGCAGACAUGAUAUGAACCCUCAUAGCCUGUUGGGAUUAAAAAUGUCCUCCGUCUCUGUCA